rfam:Cephalotus follicularis DNA, scaffold: scaffold17, isolate: St1.
UUUUGUGUAUGAUGUGAACAAUAAUAUUUAUUCUCAGUUAUCCCUGUCUGAUACUUGUGCUGACCAUUAGUGAUCUGUCACAUAC